rnacentral:rRNA from 1 species
ACAAUGAAGAGUUUGAUCCUGGCUCAGGAUGAACGCUAGCGACAGGCUUAACACAUGCAAGUCGAGGGGCAGCGAGGGGUAGCAAUACUCUGUCGGCGACCGGCGCACGGGUGCGUAACACGUAUGCAACCUACCCAUAAGCGGGGAAUAACCCGGAGAAAUCCGGACUAAUACCGCAUAGUACGUUCGAGUGGCAUCACUUGAAUUUUAAAGAUUUAUCACUUAUGGAUGGGCAUGCGCAUGAUUAGAUAGUAGGCGGGGUAACGGCCCACCUAGUCAACGAUCAUUAGGGGUUCUGAGAGGAAGGUCCCCCACAUUGGUACUGAGACACG